CUUGAACGCUGGCGGCAGGCUUAACACAUGCAAGUAGAGCGAGUGGCGGACGGGUGAGUAAUGUCUGGGAACCUGCCUGAUGGAGGGGGAUAACUAAUGAAAAAGGUAGCUAAUACCGCAUACCAUCAGAUGUGCCCAGAUGGGAUUAGCUAGUAGGUGGGGUAAUGGCUCACCUAGGCGACGACCCCUAGCUGGUUUGAGAGGUUGACCAUCCACACUGGAACUUGGACACGGUCCAGACUCCUACGGGAGGCAGCAGUGGGGAAUAUUGCACAAUGGGCGCAAGCCUGCUGCAGCCAGGCCGCGUGUGUGAAGAAGGCCGUCGGGUUGUAAAGCACUUUCAGCGAGGAGGCGUUACUCGCAGAAGAAGCACCGGCUAACUCCGUGCCAGCAGCCGCGGUAAUUC
rnacentral:rRNA from 1 species